UGUAUUUCCUGAGCUCUCACGGCUGGCUCUGCAGUUUUCCCAGAUCCUGUGAGACCUCUUUACGUCCCUCCAGGAAACUUCUCUUCCUCUCAACUUCCCACUAGUGUGAGGCCAUUUCUGUUCCUUGCAGCCAAUUAGGGUACAGAAGGUCUAGGCUCCAUGUAUUUUUAUUCACAAAAACAAAAGACAUAUAAAAGCACAUUAAUAAGGAAGCCUUUUGAUGGAGAAGUGAGGCCAGGAGCAUCGUGGGCUACUUCUCCAGAAGGCAGCGGGAAUGGACCAUCUACAGGAAAUGGGUACCUGAGAGAACAGACAUUAGGGUUGCUCUGCAUAAGGACUGACCAAGCUCCCCCAGGCCAGAGAAAGCCCAGUGAGAGAAGUAGAGAGAUGUGGGUCCUUGAGAGCAUCCACCACAGCUGCAAGGGAACACAGAGGUGGGCCAAAUCCAUGAAGCGUGGCAGCAACACCCACCCUGCCUCCAGUUACACUGCCAUCUGCUAAAGCAGGAGACAUCUCCCCGCCAGCCUCUCCCUCUCAUGACCUGAGGAGAAGCAACUGCAUUGUAAUCUCUGCACUGUGGGCUGAUUUAUAAUUGAUGAGACUUUUCCUACAGAAGUUGAUGUGCAGUAUCGCACUUCACCGAAAUUGUCUAACUUGCCAUGUGAUGGAUAUUUUUUUGUCACAUUUAUUCUUUCUUGGUUUUAAUUACUUUGUAUGUGAUAACAAGGCUCAUCAUGCACUUUUGAUAAAGUGGGGAAAACGUCAAUUUCCCCACUACUUUCUAGUGAAAUAUAUAAAAUAAAACUCAUCUCUAACUCUGAAGUGGUUCCUAU
rnacentral:lncRNA from 1 species